AGUGAACGCUGGCGGUAGGCCUAACACAUGCAAGUCGAACGGCAGCACAGUAAGAGCUUGCUCUUACGGGUGGCGAGUGGCGGACGGGUGAGGAAUACAUCGGAAUCUACUUUUUCGUGGGGGAUAACGUAGGGAAACUUACGCUAAUACCGCAUACGACCUACGGGGGAAAGCAGGGGAUCUUCGGACCUUGCGCGAUUGAAUGAGACGAUGUCGGAUUAGCUAGUUGGCGGGGUAAAGGCCCACCAAGGCGACGCUCCGUAGCUGGUCUGAGAGGAUGAUCCGCCACACUGGAACUGAGACACGGUCCAGACUCCUACGGGAGGCAGCAGUGGGGAAUAUUGGACAAUGGGCGCAAGCCUGAUCCAGCCAUACCGCGUGGGUGAAGAAGGCCUUCGGGUUGUAAAGCCCUUUUGUUGGGAAAGAAAAGCAGCAGGUUAAUACCCCGCUGUUCUGACGGUACCCAAAGAAUAAGCACCGGCUAACUUCGUG
rnacentral:rRNA from 1 species